rnacentral:rRNA from 1 species
AGAGUUUGAUCCUGGCUCAGGAUGAACGCUGGCGGCGUGCCUAAUACAUGCAAGUCGAACGAAGAGACAGCUAUGGCUCUUAGUGGCGAACGGGUGAGUAACGCGUUGGUGACCUGCCCCGAAGACUGGGAUAACAGUUCGAAAGGACUGCUAAUACCGGAUGAUGACCUGGGCGUUAGAGAACCAGGUGGAAAGGAUAGCGCGAGUUAUCCGCUUUGGGAGGGGCCUGCGUCCCAUCAGCUAGUUGGUAGGGUAAAGGCCUACCAAGGCAGCGACGGGUAGGGGACCUGAGAGGGUGACCCCCCACACUGGCACUGAAACACGGGCCAGACACCUACGGGUGGCAGCAGUAGGGAAUAAUGUGCAAUGGGCGCAAGCCUGACACUGCAACGCCGCGUGCCCGAUGAAGGCCUUCGGGUUGUAAAGGGCUUUUCGGGAGGACGAAAGCAGACGGUACUCCCGGAAUAAGGAUCGGCUAACUACGUGCCAGCAGCCGCGGUAACACGUAGGAUCCGAGCGUUAUCCGAAUUUACUGGGCGUAAAGCGCGUGUAGGCGGCUGGGUAAGUUGGGCGUGAAAUCUCCUGGCUCAACUGGGAGGGGUCGUCCAAAACUACUCAGCUAGAGGGCGGUAGAGGGAGGUGGAAUUCCCGGUGUAGUGGUGAAAUGCGUAGAUAUCGGGAGGAACACCAGUGGCGAAAGCGGCCUCCUGGGCCGCACCUGACGCUCAGACGCGAAAGCUAGGGGAGCGAACGGGAUUAGAUACCCCGGUAGUCUUAGCUGUAAACGAUGUGAACUAGGCGUGGGUGGGGUAAAAGCCAUCCGUGCCGCAGCCAACGCGCUAAGUUCACCGCCUGGGGACUACGGCCGCAAGGUUAAAACUCAAAGGAAUUGGCGGGGGCCCGCACAAGCAGCGGAGCGUGUGGUUUAAUUCGAUGCUACGCGAAGAACCUUACCCGGGUUUGACAUGUAGGUAGUAGGGAAGCGAAAGUGGACCGACCCUUCGGGGAGCCUGCACAGGUGCUGCAUGGCUGUCGUCAGCUCGUGUCGUGAGAUGUCCGGUUAAGUCCGGUAACGAGCGCAACCCUUGCUGGAUGUUACAAGUGUCAUCCAGGACUGCCGGUUUAGAACCGGAGGAAGGCGGGGAUGACGUCAAGUCAGCAUGGCCUUUAUAUCCGGGGCUACACACACGCUACAAUGGCCGGUACAAUGGGUUGCAAAGCCGCGAGGUAGAGCCAAUCCCGAAAGCCGGUCUCAGUUCGGAUUGCAGGCUGCAACUCGCCUGCAUGAAGUCGGAGUUGCUAGUAACCGCGCGUCAGCCAUAGUGCGGUGAAUACGUUCCCGGGCCUUGCACACACCGCCCGUCACGUCAUGGGAGCUGGUAACACCUGAAGCCGGUAGCCGAACCGCAAGGAAGGCGCCGUCGAAGGUGGGGCCGGUGACUGGGACGAAGUCGUAACAAGGUA